rnacentral:rRNA from 1 species
UGGGGAAUAUUGCGCAAUGGGCGAAAGCCUGACGCAGCAACACCGCGUGAGGGAUGACGGCCUUCGGGUUGUAAACCUCUUUCAGCUCCGACGAAGCGAAAGUGACGGUAGGAGCAGAAGAAGCACCGGCUAACUACGUGCCAGCAGCCGCGGUAAUACGUAGGGUGCAAGCGUUGUCCGGAAUUAUUGGGCGUAAAGAGCUCGUAGGCGGUCCGUUGCGUCUGCCGUGAAAACCCGGAGCUCAACUCCGGGCCUGCGGUGGAUACGGGCGGACUAGAGUCCGGUAGGGGAGACUGGAAUUCCUGGUGUAGCGGUGGAAUGCGCAGAUAUCAGGAGGAACACCGGUGGCGAAGGCGGGUCUCUGGGCCGGAACUGACGCUGAGGAGCGAAAGCGUGGGGAGCGAACAGGAUUA